CGAACGAGCGAGAGAGAGCUUGCUUUCUCGAGCGAGUGGCGAACGGGUGAGUAACGCGUGAGGAACCUGCCUCAAAGAGGGGGACAACAGUUGGAAACGACUGCUAAUACCGCAUAAGCCCACAGCUCGGCAUCGAGCAGAGGGAAAAGGAGCAAUCCGCUUUGAGAUGGCCUCGCGUCCGAUUAGCUAGUUGGUGAGGUAAUGGCCCACCAAGGCGACGAUCGGUAGCCGGACUGAGAGGUUGAACGGCCACAUUGGGACUGAGACACGGCCCAGACUCCUACGGGAGGCAGCAGUGGGGAAUAUUGCACAAUGGGGGAAACCCUGAUGCAGCGACGCCGCGUGGAGGAAGAAGGUCUUCGGAUUGUAAACUCCUGUUGUUGAGGAAGAUAAUGACGGUACUCAACAAGGAAGUGACGGCUAACUACGUGCCAGCAGCCGCGGUAAAACGUAGGUCACAAGCGUUGUCCGGAAUUACUGGGUGUAAAGGGAGCGCAGGCGGGAAGGCAAGUUGGAAGUGAAAUCCAUGGGCUCAACCCAUGAACUGCUUUCAAAACUGUUUUUCUUGAGUAGUGCAGAGGUAGGCGGAAUUCCCGGUGUAGCGGUGGAAUGCGUAGAUAUCGGGAGGAACACCAGUGGCGAAGGCGGCCUACUGGGCACCAACU
rnacentral:rRNA from 1 species